AUGUCGAGGGAGCGAAUCUGGAUCAAGCGGAGUCUGAGGACUUGCCCCAGUGCGCUCCCGUAUUCAGAAAUCAGGAAAAAUAAAAGAGGCCCCAUGGGAGGAGAAUGCCUAGCAGCUAGUAGAAGCCCGUGAAAUCGGAGACACAGAGGCAAUUAGGUGUCUCUGUUGUCAGUUAAAGAAGGUUUGUCAGAGAGUAGGAACCUGCAUCAAAUGCUGCUCCCUGAGAUAAGUAUGUGGAGGUGACUGCCGGAUUGGGUGGCUUUGGUAAGGACAACUGAAGAGGAGCAGUGGGCACAAUAUCCUGACUGGGGCAGGUUUAAGAGAAGGGGUGGAGAGAGAGUAGGGAGAACAAGCAUAAAAAUCUCAAGUUUCUCUAUAAGGAGAACCGGAGUGAUAGUGAGAAAGCUGAUGUUUGCAGCCUUCAUAAUGUAAGAGGAAAAGGCAAGGAAGAUGGAAAUACAGAAGUACUCCAGUGAAAAAGGAUUUAUCCAAACCUCACAAUGAGUGGAUAGUAGGUUGCACAAAUGGAACCUGUGCUGCUAUGCUGUUUAGAUUUCUCUCAUGUAUAAUACCUUCCACAUCCGAUAUUAUAGCAACAAAGAAUGGUGGCUGUGUCUUCUUGCUGGCUAUUUUUUAAAAUCUCUUUUUUGUUUGGUGUUUUGCUUCACUGUACUGUGUUUAAAUAUGAAUUUCUCUUGCUUAUCAUAUUUGUGACUCAUUGACCCUUUUGAACAUGAGAAGUGGAUUCCUUCAACAUUUAAAAAAUUCUCAACCUCUAUCUCUUCAAAUAUUGUCUUUUUCUCAUUAUCUCUAUUAUUUCUCUCUGAAACUUUCAUUAAUGUAAAUCAGAUAUUUCUAUUCGAUUGUACAUGUCUUUAACCUCUCUUGACGUCUCUGAACUGUAUUCUGUAUAGCUUCUUUAGCUAUAUCUUCCAAUUUACUAAUUCUCUCUUUAGCUGCAUCUGUCUUAUCUGCUGUUUACAUUGCCUUAUUAAUUUAAAUUUGUAUAUCUAUUAAGUCUAGAAGUUUUUAAAGUUCUCUAUUGAUUCUUUUACAAAUAUAUUUGGUUCUUUUAAAAUUUCUCAUUCUCAUUCAUAUUCUCAAGCUUUUCCUUUAUUUCUUAAAACGUUAAAUAUGUUUUAUCUUUAGUGUCUAAUAAUUCCAAUAAAUGAA